UGGCGGACGGGUGAGUAACGCGUGGGGAACCUGCCCUGUACAGGGGGAUAACACUUAGAAAUAGGUGCUAAUACCGCAUAAGCGCACAGUAUCGCAUGAUACAGUGUGAAAAACUCCGGUGGUACAGGAUGGACCCGCGUCUGAUUAGCUGGUUGGCGGGGUAACGGCCCACCAAGGCGACGAUCAGUAGCCGGCCUGAGAGGGCGGACGGCCACAUUGGGACUGAGACACGGCCCAGACUCCUACGGAAGGCAGCAG
rnacentral:rRNA from 1 species